CAUCACUGGAUGACAAGAACUCACUGAGCUAGCAGCCAGAACAUAGCAAAUAAACAACAUCAGUUUUCAAAUCCAUGACAAUAAUUAGGUCUUACCUUGUGAUUUUUGUGAUCAAAAGUUGUGUUCAACGGAAUAAAAACGCUGCUCAAGGUUAAUCCAAUGUCUCUUAGUCACGUUAGAAUUGUUUCUGAUCAAUCAAUCCUUUCAUUCAUGGCAGAAAAGUAGGUACAAAGAUUAGGGUCCGUAGCUUCAGCUGCUUGACAUGCAGUUUACGCAUAGCUCCCCCUCCCCCGCCGUAAAGUAUUUACGUAUUUUCCAACUGCCACUCGAUUCUAUUGGCUCUAACGAUUCAAAAAAGGUGUAAAUCACGCAAAUCGACCAAUGGGUUCCAGAGAUAGGGUCCUGCGUAAGUGUACAUCAGGCCAGUAUGCUGCUUCCCCCACACUCUUGCUACGUUUUUGACGCAGCAGAAACACAUUGAGAGGAGCGCAGAUCACCGGCAGAUCACCGGGACAGCGAGACAGCAGGAUUAUCAGGGAAAACAGCCGGAUUUGUUUUAUUUCUUCAUUUGAACAAUGGCAGCCAGAAAGAAGACUUUAUUGUCCAUCCAGGAGGCAUUGGAAAUGGUAUUUGAGGACUCUCCGUCGGAAGAUAGUGAUCUUAUCACGCAUCGAGUGACUCCGAUUAUGAAGUUCCACCAACGGAAAGGAGCUGCACAAGAGGAGGGGUGACCCCGGCAGGACGAACCCACACACCCAGAAGUCCUUCAGGGAGCAGCUUGCAAAAUAAAUGGUUGAGUUUUCUGGAGACCCUGCAGCAGUACCACCCCGCCCACCAACCCCCACACCAUCACUGACAUGCAUGCCCGAGCAUUAUGGGGAAGAUGCCACCACGGUCAGGAGGUACUGCAGGAAGUGCUCUGAUGCUGGCAGCAGAAGGGUGAAGACACCUGUGUACUUCAGGAAGUGUCAGGUCCCUCUGUGCUUCACUCCCAAAAAGAACUGUUUCAGGGCAUGGCAUGACUUACUGCAAUAAUACCAUAACAUUCAGGGUUGGUUUGUAUAAAGUUUUGAGAGUUUUUAUCACCCAAUUUUUUUUUUUACCUAAAGUGUGGUGUUAUUGUGUUAGUGCUAACAUUCUUUUAUAUAAAUCUGCUCCAGUUGGAGUCAAAUGUU